GAUGAACGCUGGCGGCGUGCCUAAUACAUGCAAGUCGAGCGAACGGACGAGAAGCUUGCUCUUCUGAUGUUAGCGGCGGACGGGUGAGUAACACGUGGAUAACCUACCUAUAAGACUGGGAUAACUUCGGGAAACCGGAGCUACUACCGGAUAAUAUUUUGAACCGCAUGGUUCAUAAGUUAAAGACGGUCUUGCUGACACUUAUAGAUGGAUCCGCGCUGCAUUAGCUAGUUGGUAAGGUAACGGCUUACCAAGGCAACGAUGCAUAGCCGACCUGAGGGGGUGAUCGACAAACCGGGAACGAGGACACGUACCAGACCCGUACGGGAGGCAGCGGUAGGAAAUCUUCCGCAAGGGGCGAAGGCCUAACGGGGCAACGCGGCGUGAGUGAUAAAGGUCUUCGGAUCGUAAAACUUUGUGAUUAGAGAGGAACAUAGGUGUAAGAAACUGUGCACAUCUGAACGGACCCUAAUAAUAAGGCCCGGCUAAAUUCGUG
rnacentral:rRNA from 1 species